CUUGGUCAUUUAGAGGAAGUAAAAGUCGUAACAAGGCUUCCGUAGGUAAGUAAUUGUCUGCCUGCCACUCCGUUAUUUUGUAGAGUACUAAUUUGAAAUAGGUGAACCUGCGGAAGGAUCAUUACAGAGUGUCGAGUGGCUUUUGGCCCUCAACCUCCCACCCUUUGUGUUGCGAUCAUUGUUGCUUCGGCAGGCUCUCAAGAAGCACCUGUCGAAGGUCUCUUUUACUCCGAUCAUCAAAGAAGUCUGAGGAAAUAUCAAAUUGAUAAAAACUUUCAACAACGGAUCUCUUGGUUCUGGCAUCGAUGAAGAACGCAGCGAAAUGCGAUAAGUAAUGUGAAUUGCAGAAUUUAGUGAAUCAUCGAGUUUUUGAACGCACAUUGCGCCUUUUGGUAUUCCGAGAGGCAUACCUGUUCGAGCGCCGUUUCAUAAUUCAAGCUUCUGCUUGGUGUUGAAUUGUAUCGCCAGAUACUUUUCGAAACUCCUGGGCAUUUCCUGGUCAGAGCCACAGCGUGACAGUCUCUCGCUAUAGCUUCGUCAGCAAAUCGCCAGUUUUUGGAACUGAUGGCCUCGGAUCAGGUAGGGUUACCCGCUGAUCUUAAGCAUAUCAAUAAGCGGAGGAAAAGAAACCAACAGGGAUUGCCCUAGUAACGGCGAGUGAAGCGGCAACAGCUCAAAUUUGAAAUCUGGCAACCGCCCGAAUUGUAAUUUGCAGAGGAAUGUUUGGCUGCGAAAUUGGUCUGAGUCUUCUGGAAAGAAGCGCCACAGAGGGUAAGAGCCCCGUACUAGGCUCCAUUUCAACGCCAUGUAAACGUCCUUCGACGAGUCGAGUUGUUUGGGAAUGCAGCUCAAAAUGGGUGGUAAAUUCCAUCUAAAGCUAAAUAUUGGCCAGAGACCGAUAGCGCACAAGUAGAGUGAUCGAAAGAUGAAAAGCACUUUGGAAAGAGAGUUAAACAGUACGUGAAAUUGUUGAAAGGGAAGCGCUUGCAACCAGACUUGCACGCUGUCGAUCAUCCGAGGUUUUCCCCGGUGCACUCGAUUGCGUUCAGGCCAGCAUCGGUUUGGGCGGUGGGAUAAAGGCCUUGGGAAUGUAGCUUCUUUCGGGGAGUGUUAUAGCCCUCGGUGCAAUGCCGCCUGCCUGGACCGAGGACCGCGCUUCGGCUAGGAUGCUGGCGUAAUGGUUGUAAGCGACCCGUCUUGAAACACGGACC
rnacentral:rRNA from 1 species